rnacentral:lncRNA from 1 species
UCAAAUAUGUUUAUUUAUAUCUUUAUGAUUUUAUUCCCUCUCUCUAUUCUCAUGGCAUUUUCAUGACAUUAUUGGCUAACCUCUAAUCAUAGAUUUUGCUUUUGCCUCCCUGAAAGAAUUGUAAGCCUUUUUAAGAUAUGAAAUAUGCCUACACGCAGAGCUUGGCACACAGUAGAGUCAAUCAUUUAAUGUUUUAAAUAUGCAUUUUCAGACUCAAAUAAUGAAGAAGUUUCAUUGGUAUCCACUGGUCACAUCAUAACUGGUUAUAGGGCAAUAAAAUCUGUGUUAAAUUCGAUUGCCUUUAUAUGUUAUCUGAAUUAUUUCUUCACUGUGACAGCAAAGAUUUAAAUAAGAUGAAUGUAAAAGAGAAAGCUUAUUGGACUCAAACCCACAGAUGGACACCAGAGUUCCACUUAGCUCAUCUUGGUAUCAAUAAAAACUCAUGUGGAAGGGAGACAUGAGACAUCAAUCAAUAUAUGUAAGAUGUACAUUGGUUCCAUCCAGAAAGGAGGGACAACUCAAGAAAGGAGGGGGCUUCCAGGUCACAGAGAUGCCCUGCCCAGAAAGGAGAAAUCUAGAGAGGCAGUGUGGCUACAGUGGCUUUGUCGAGCUGUGGUGGGCUCCAUCCAAUUUGAACUUCUUGGUGGCUUUGUUUACAACAUGAGGGGAAAACAGCCUACUCAAGCCUCAGUAAUGGUGGACACCCCUCUCCCCACCACGCUCUAGCAUCACAGAUCGACUUCAGACUACUGUUCUUGGAGCAAGAAUUUCAAGCCAGUGGAUCUUAGCUUGCUGGACUCCAUGGGUGUAGGAGAUCCGUCAGAGUGGUGGGAGAAAUGACAGGGAAAGGAGCAGGCCUUCUGAAAGGUCAGAAGGCUCUGCAAAGCUCCAGGGGAGAAUAGCUGAAGGCAGCUGUUCUAUAAUUCUGAGGCAGAGGGCAAGGAGUAGGUACAAGUGAGUGUAGGGGAAUUUCUCUUAAACAGGCUUGUUUACUUAUACUGACCAGGAACUGACCUUUUAUUAUCCAUGCAUAUGACGUUUUCUGAAAGGGGAACAAUAAGUGUUAAUCACCUACAGGUUGUUUGCUCCAGGUUUUCAGCAUGGUGCCUGCGUUGAAUAAAAGCAAGCAGCUCCAGCUUCUCA